GAAGAAUAUUGCACAAUGGAGGAAACUCUGAUGCAGCAACGCCGCGUGAAGGAUGAAGGUUUUCGGAUUGUAAACUUCUUUUGUCGGGGACGAAACAAAUGACGGUACCUGACGAAUAAGCCACGGCUAACUACGUGCCAGCAGCCGCGGUAAUACGUAGGUGGCAAGCGUUAUCCGGAUUUACUGGGUGUAAAGGGCGAGUAGGCGGGAUCAUAAGUCAGAUGUGAAAUCUGGGGGCUCAACCCCCAAACUGCAUUUGAAACUAUGAUUCUUGAGUGAUGGAGAGGCAGGCGGAAUUCCCGGUGUAGCGGUGGAAUGCGUAGAGAUCGGGAGGAACACCAGUGGCGAAGGCGGCCUGCUGGACAUUAACUGACGCUGAGGAGCGAAAGCGUGGGGAGCAAAC
rnacentral:rRNA from 1 species